CAGCAGUCUCAUGUGGAAUAAUAACCAGAAAAUGAUUGUCCUGUUUUAUUUACUGCUGAUGCUCAGAGUGGGGCGAUGCGCAGAGGAUCAAAUCUUUGAGACAAAGACUGUUGGUGUUGGAGCUGAUGUGAGACUAACUUGUUCCCGGAAGCUUUCGGGAAGAAUUUUUUGGAUCAGGCUUGUUUCUGGAGGCUUUCCAAAAAUUUUGGGAAAAAAUAUAUAGCAUUGAUAGUGAUUCUCGGAUUACAACCACAGAAGAGCCCGGCAUAUUUGCUCUGCAUAUUAAAGAUGUAAAGCUCAGUGAUACAGCUGUUUACCUCUGCAUGAAAAUACACAAACAAAACUUCACGUUUUUGAAAGGAACAGACCUCAGAGUUGAAGAACCAGAGCCAGAAGUCACUGCCGUCCCUCCGUCUGAUCCAGCCUGUCCAGAAGACUCAGUGACGCUCCAGUGUUCAGUCCUCUCCGACUCUGAGAACAAAACACGUCCAGGAGAACACAGUGUGCACUGUUUCAGAGCCGGAUCACAUCAGUGUCCCAAUUUUUGAUUGCACUCAAGAAAAUAGUGUUGAGGAACAUAAAAAGAACCCUGAAGCAUGUUUCUACAGCUUCUUCAAGAACGUGAGCGCCUCUGAUACUGGGACUCGUUACUGUGCUGUGGCCACAUGUGAGGAGAUAUCUUCUGGAAACAAAUCAGAACUCGACACUGAAGGUAACUGCAUCAUAUUUAUAUUAAUGUAAUUAGGGAAUUAGCACAUUUGUGUGUUUGAUUAAGGUCAAGUAAAUGUACCAAAACAUAAAUUACUCUUAAUUACACUCUAACUAAUUGUAAACUUUUCAUAUUGUGUCAGCAGUCAACAUUUGGGAUUCUCAGAGGAACAAUACAAUCCACUUUCUGUUAUGUUCUGCUUUGGCUAUAAACUCUGAUUGCUAUAGCCUUUCUCAUUUAUUUAAUCAAGAAACUCAAGAAAGAAUCUUGUGGUUGUUGCAACGGUAAGCAAAGUCACUCAUAUAUCGCUCUAUCAAACAGCAUUUAAUAUUAUUGGAUUCACAUUAAUGUUUUUAUUUUAUAAAUUUUAUUGUUGCUCUGCAAACAAAUGCUGCAACAGUCAGUGGUGACCAGCAAAGUCAGCAGACAGAUGAGGACUCGGUGGUUUAUUAUGCUCUUACCUUCACCAGCAGGAAAGCAAGCAAAGGAGGGACAAGGGAUGCAAGAACAGAGGAGGAAGAGAGUAUCUACACUGAUGUCAGGACUCUGGAGUUGGAUUAACAGUCUAAAAACUCACCAAAAAGUCACUGGAUUUGCUUUUUAUAACAUGAUGUUAUUUUUGUCUGCACAUUGUGGGAAAUGGACUGCCACAUAAUUUCCCUCUAAUUUUGAUAAAUGAUUUUUUAUUGUAAAUUAUUAAAAAAACAUUUGAUAUUAUAUUUAUGUGUUUUGUAGAGAAAUAAAUAUAAUGCACUAGCAUUUGGUAAAAGAACUGUGCUGCAGUAUUGUAAAUCUAUCAACAUUUAAUUGUUAUUUGUCAUUAAAGUCCCUU